rnacentral:tRNA from 1 species
GGGUUGUUAGCUCAGUUGGUAGAGCAGUGGACUCUUAAUCCAUUGGUCGAGGGUUCGAGCCCCUCACGACCCA